rnacentral:rRNA from 1 species
UGAGUANUGCCUAGGUAUCUGCCCAGUCGAGGGGGAUAACAGUUGGAAACGACUGCUAAUACCGCAUACGCCCUACGGGGGAAAGGAGGGGACCUUCGGGCCUUCCGCGAUUGGAUGAACCUAGGUGGGAUUAGCUAGUUGGUGAGGUAAUGGCUCACCAAGGCGACGAUCCCUANCUGGUCUGAGAGGAUGAUCAGCCACACUGGAACUGAGACACGGUCCANACUCCUACGGGAGGCAGCAGUGGGGAAUAUUGCACAAUGGGCGAAAGCCUGAUGCAGCCAUGCCGCGUGUGUGAAGAAGGCCUUCGGGUUGUAAAGCACUUUCAGCGAGGAGGAAAGGUUAGGGCUUAAUACNCNCUANCUGUGACGUUACUCG